UACAGGGGGGGCAAGCGUUGUUCGGAAUUACUGGGCGUCAAGGGUCUGUAGGUGGCCAACUAAGUCAGACGUGAAAUCCCUCAGCUUAACUGGGGAACUGCGUCUGAUACUGGAUGGCUCGAGUGUGGGAGAGGAAUGCGGAAUUCCAGGUGUAGCGGUGAAAUGCGUAGAUAUCUGGAGGAACACCGGUGGCGAAGGCGGCAUUCUGGACCAUAACUGACACUGAGAGACGAAAGCCAGGGGAGCAAACGGG
rnacentral:rRNA from 1 species